rnacentral:rRNA from 1 species
CAUUAUUGAAUAAACCUGAUAGGCUGUUGCUGGCUUCUAGGAGCAUGUGCACGCCUGUCAUCUUUAUCCAUCCACCUGUGCACCUUUUGUAGUCUUGGAGUAAUGAGUGUAAAACCUAUCGAGGAACAACUUUGGUCCUCGGAUGGAGGCCUGCCAUGCGAUAGUGUGGCUGACCUUAUUACUUGCGCAAGUUCUCUGAGUCUAUGUUUUUCAUAUACCACGCAAAAUGUAAUAGAAUGUUUUUAUUGGGCCCUAGUGCCUAUAAAAUGAAAUACAACUUUCAGCAACGGAUCUCUUGGCUCUCGCAUCGAUGAAGAACGCAGCGAAAUGCGAUAAGUAAUGUGAAUUGCAGAAUUCAGUGAAUCAUCGAAUCUUUGAACGCACCUUGCGCUCCUUGGUAUUCCGAGGAGCAUGCCUGUUUGAGUGUCAUUUAAUUCUCAACCCCUCUAGCUUUUUGUGGCUGGCUUGGUGGCUUGGAUGUGGGGGAUUCUUGCGGGCCUCUUUAGAGGUCAGCUCCCCUGAAAUGCAUUAGUAGAACUGUUUGCGGAACUGUUCACUGGUGUGAUAAUUAUCAUCACCGAAGACAGCCGCUCUCAUGUAGUUCUGCUUCUAAUCGUCCUAUUUCAUGGACAAUAAUGUUUGAAUGCUUGACCUCAAAUCAGGUAGGACUACCCGCUGAACUUAAGCAUAUCAAUAAGCGGAGGAAAAGAAACUAACAAGGAUUCCCCUAGUAACUGCGAGUGAAGCGGGAAAAGCUCAAAUUUAAAAUCUGGCGGUCUUUGGCCGUCCGAGUUGUAAUCUAGAGAAGCGUCACCCGCGCUGGACCGUGUACAAGUCUCCUGGGAUGGAGCGUCAUAGAGGGUGAGAAUCCCGUCUCUGACACGGACUACCAGGGCUUUGUGGUGCGCUCUCAAAGAGUCGAGUUGUUUGGGAAUGCAGCUCUAAACGGGUGGUAAAUUCCAUCUAAAGCUAAAUAUUGGCGAGAGACCGAUAGCGAACAAGUACCGUGAGGGAAAGAUGAAAAGAACUUUGGAAAGAGAGUCAAACAGUACGUGAAAUUGCUGAAAGGGAAACGCUUGAAGUCAGUCGCGUUGGCCGGGGAUCAGCCUCGCUCUUGCGUGGUGUACUUCCUGGUUGACGGGUCAGCAUCAAUUUUGACCGCUGGAAAAAGAUUUAGGGAAUGUGGCAUCUUCGGAUGUGUUAUAGCCCUUUUUCAUAUACAGCGGUUGGGAUUGAGGAACUCAGCACGCCGCAAGGCCGGGUUUCGACCACGUUCGUGCUUAGGAUGCUGGCAUAAUGGCUUUAAUCGACCCGUCUUGAAACACGGACCAAGGAGUCUAACAUGCCUGCGAGUGUUUGGGUGGAAAACCCGAGCGCGUAAUGAAAGUGAAAGUUGAGAUCCCUGUCGCGGGGAGCAUCGACGCCCGGACCAGAACUUUUGGGACGGAUCUGCGGUAGAGCAUGUAUGUUGGGACCCGAAAGAUGGUGGACUAUGCCUGAAUAGGGUGAAGCCAGAGGAAACUCUGGUGGAGGCUCGUAGCGAUUCUGACGUGCAAAUCGAUCGUCAAAUUUGGGUAUAGGGGCGAAAGACUAAUCGAACCA